UACGAAGGGUGCUAGCGCUGUUCGGAAUUACUGGGCGUAAAGCGCGCGUAGGCGGCUUCUCAAGUCAGGGGUGAAAUCCCACAGCUCAACUGUGGAAUUGCCUUUGAAACUGUGAAGCUAGAGUGUCGGAGGGGAUAGCGGAAUUGCUAAUGUAGAGGUGAAAUUCGUAGAUAUUAGCAGGAACACCGGUGGCGAAGGCGGCUAUCUGGACGACAACUGACGCUGAGGCGUGAAAGCGUGGGGAUCAAACAGG
rnacentral:rRNA from 1 species